rnacentral:rRNA from 1 species
UACGUAGGGUGCGAGCGUUAAUCGGAAUUACUGGGCGUAAAGCGUGCGCAGGCGGUUCGUUGUGUCUGUGGUGAAAGCCCCGGGCUUAACCUGGGGAAUGGCCUGGAAACUGGCGAGCUGGAGUGUGGCAGAGGGGGGUGGAAUUCCGCGUGUAGCAGUGAAAUGCGUAGAGAUGCGGAGGAACACCGAUGGCGAAGGCACCCCCUGGGUUGACACUGACGCUCAGGCACGAAAGCGUGGGGAGCAAACAGG